rnacentral:rRNA from 1 species
AUUGAACGCUGGCGGCAGGCCUAACACAUGCAAGUCGAGCGGAUGAAGGGAGCUUGCUCCUGGAUUCAGCGGCGGACGGGUGAGUAAUGCCUAGGAAUCUGCCUGGUAGUGGGGGAUAACGUCCGGAAACGGGCGCUAAUACCGCAUACGUCCUGAGGGAGAAAGUGGGGGAUCUUCGGACCUCACGCUAUCAGAUGAGCCUAGGUCGGAUUAGCUAGUUGGUGGGGUAAAGGCCUACCAAGGCGACGAUCCGUAACUGGUCUGAGAGGAUGAUCAGUCACACUGGAACUGAGACACGGUCCAGACUCCUACGGGAGGCAGCAGUGGGGAAUAUUGGACAAAGGGCGAAAGCCUGAUCCAGCCGUGCCGCGUGUGUGAAGAAGGUCUUCGGAUUGUAAAGCACUUUAAGUUGGGAGGAAGGGCAGUAAGUUAAUACCUUGCUGUUUUGACGUUACCAACAGAAUAAGCACCGGCUAACCUCGUG